UCCCGUGUGGCUCAGUUGGUAGAGCAUGGUGUUUGCAACGCAAGGGUUGUGGGUUCAAUUCCCACGGGGGGAC
rnacentral:tRNA from 1 species